GACACGGUCCAAACUCCUACGGGAGGCAGCAGUGAGGAAUAUUGGUCAAUGGGCGAGAGCCUGAACCAGCCAAGUAGCGUGCAGGAUGACGGCCCUAUGGGUUGUAAACUGCUUUUAUAAGGGAAUAAAGUGAGUCUCGUGAGACUUUUUGCAUGUACCUUAUGAAUAAGGACCGGCUAAUUCCGUGCCAGCAGCCGCGGUAAUACGGAAGGUCCGGGCGUUAUCCGGAUUUAUUGGGUUUAAAGGGAGCGUAGGCCGUGAGGUAAGCGUGUUGUGAAAUGUAGGCGCCCAACGUCUGCACUGCAGCGCGAACUGCCCCACUUGAGUGCGCGCAACGCCGGCGGAACUCGUCGUGUAGCGGUGAAAUGCUUAGAUAUGACGAAGAACCCCGAUUGCGAAGGCAGCUGGCGGGAGCGUAACUGACGCUGAAGCUCGAAAGCGCGGGUAUCGAACAGGAUUAGAUACCCUGGUAGUCCGCGCGGUAAACGAUGGAUGCCCGCUGUGGCGCGCCUGGCGUGCCGCGGCUAAGCGAAAGCAUUAAGCAUCCCACCUGGGGAGUACGCCGGCAACGGUGAAACUCAAAGGAAUUGACGGGGGCCCGCACAAGCGGAGGAACAUGUGGUUUAAUUCGAUGAUACGCGAGGAACCUUACCCGGGCUUGAAUUGCAGAGGAAGGAUUUGGAGACAAUGACGCCCUUCGGGGUCUCUGUGAAGGUGCUGCAUGGUUGUCGUCAGCUCGUGCCGUGAGGUGUCGGCUUAAGUGCCAUAACGAGCGCAACCCCUCUCCUUAGUUGCCAUCAGGUCAAGCUGGGCACUCUGGGGACACUGCCACCGUAAGGUGUGAGGAAGGUGGGGAUGACGUCAAAUCAGCACGGCCCUUACGUCCGGGGCUACACACGUGUUACAAUGGCAGGUACAGAGAGAUGGUGUUCUGCAAAGCGCAUCUAAUCCUUAAAGCCUGUCUCAGUUCGGACUGGGGUCUGCAACCCGACCCCACGAAGCUGGAUUCGCUAGUAAUCGCGCAUCAGCCAUGGCGCGGUGAAUACGU
rnacentral:rRNA from 1 species